AUUGAACGCUGGCGGCAGGCCUAACACAUGCAAGUCGAGCGAGCGGCGGACGGGUGAGUAAUGUAUGGGGACUGCCCGAUAGAGGGGGCUAACUACUGGAAACGGUAGCUAAUACCGCAUACUAUCGGAUAACCCAUAUGGGAUUAGCUAGUCGGUGAGGUAAUGGCUCACCUAGGCGACGAUCCCUAGAUGGUCUGAGAGGAUGAUCAGCCACACUGGGACUGAGACACGGCCCAGACUCCUACGGAGGCAGCAGUGGGGAAUAUUGCACAAUGGGCGCAAGCCUGAUGCAGCCAUGCCGCGUGUAUGAAGAAGGCCUUCGGAUUGUAAAGUACUUUCAGCUGGGAGGCGUUACCCUCCGAAGAAGCACCGGCUAACUCCGUGCCAGCCGCCGCGGUAAUUC
rnacentral:rRNA from 1 species